UACGUAGGGCGCAAGCGUUAUCCGGAAUUAUUGGGCGUAAAGAGCUCGUAGGCGGUUUGUCGCGUCUGCCGUGAAAGUCCGGGGCUCAACUCCGGAUCUGCGGUGGGUACGGGCAGACUAGAGUGAUGUAGGGGAGACUGGAAUUCCUGGUGUAGCGGUGAAAUGCGUAGAUAUCGCUUGGAACGCCGAAGGUGAAAACAGGUCGCUGGGGAUGUGCCGACGCUGAGACACGAAAGCCAGGGGAGCAAACGGG
rnacentral:rRNA from 1 species